rnacentral:rRNA from 1 species
GAUGAACGCUGGCGGCGUGCCUAAUACAUGCCAGUCGAGCGAACAGACGAGGAGCUUGCUCCUCUGACGUUAGCGGCGGACGGGUGAGUAACACGUGGAUAACCUACCUAUAAGACUGGGAUAACUUCGGGAAACCGGAGCUAAUACCGGAUAAUAUAUUGAACCGCAUGGUUCAAUAGUGAAAGACGGUUUUGCUGUCACUUAUAGAUGGAUCCGCGCCGCAUUAGCUAGUUGGUAAGGUAGCGGCUUACCAAGGCAACGAUGCGUAGCCGACCUGAGAGGGUGAUCGGCCACACUGGAACUGAGACACGGUCCAGACUCCUACGGGAGGCAGCAGUAGGGAAUCUUCCGCAAUGGGCGAAAGCCUGACGGAGCAACGCCGCGUGAGUGAUGAAGGUCUUCGGAUCGUAAAACUCUGUUAUUAGGGAAGAACAAAUGUGUAAGUAACUAUGCACGUCUUGACGGUACCUAAUCAGAAAGCCACGGCUAACUACGUG